AUCUGGGUACAAAGAGGCAGAGAAGGCUGAUCUGCCAAGAAAACCCAAAAGUAAUGAACAGAGACAAGAGACCACAUAACCGCAGUAAGACAGAGAGUGCCGUGGUCCCUGACAGCUUCUAACUCAGGGUUCUAGAGCUUGAGAGGCCCAGCUGUACCUUCAGCAACAUUGAGCCCCCUGAAGAAUCCCUACAGCAGCAGUAAAUAAGCUGAGGACAAGAAGAUCUUCCAGGGCAGGGUUUUGGUUGGAGCACUGGAUUAAGUUCACUGCAAGACCAAGAAAAUUGCCUAUGCCUGUUUAGGAAGCUAAUGAACCACGACAAGAACAAAAGGCCGGCGGCCAGGGAAAGGGUGGAAAGAAGGACCCUGGACAAUCUGCAGACUGGGUCAUGGGCUCCUGAACUGAUUGUGUCCCAGCUCACGUGGACAAGGACCUUCUCAGUAUACUUUGCCCUGCUUGUAACUGCAUCAGACCCUCCUCUCCAUGGGGCCCACUCACCAGGGCAGAAGGGCAGAAACUGAAGCUUUGCUUCUAGGGUGGGAGUGGAAGGAGAAACUUGGCUGGCUGAGGGAAUGAGAAGUCUUGUUUGAGAGAUCUAUGAGUUUGUAGCUUCAGAACUGGCUGGCAAGCAUGGGGCGGGGGCAUGCAAAUCCCCACAGGUGCAGGACAAAACGGAAGUGGCCUUGGUUGAGGCUGCAGGGGCAGAUGACCACCCAUUUUGCAUAUGCUAGGACCUGGCUCCCUCCAGGUGUAGGGCUACAUUUAGCUAUUCCCCACCAUUAAGCUAGGGGCUUGCCCAAUGCUUUGGCUAGGACUGGGCCUAACUUGCCCCCUCAGCAUUACAAAUUGGGCCCCAGGCCACUCCUGUGUUGGGAAAAAAAUCACAAUUACUCCUUCUCUUCCCCUUAACCAAAUCUGCAUAUCAUAGAUAUGAAAUCUGGCUGAAAUGGACCUGAAGAUUUGUCAACUCUUCCUUACUCAUCUUGAUGCUGUCAAGCCCAUUUCCCCUUCUCACUCCACCCCCAAUCCUAAAACAU